UGUGCACCGGUGGGGUCCCUUGGCCUGGCCUGCGCCUUCUUGCAAUCCAGGACCACUCAAGGGAUGUCGGAGACCCGUUUUAGACCAAUCCUGCAGGCCAGGCCAAGGGACCCCACUGGUGCACA
rnacentral:pre_miRNA from 1 species